rnacentral:lncRNA from 1 species
UCUGCCGGCCAGAAGAUGGGAGGUUGACUGGGGCAGGGCCUGUGUCUGCCGCUGAGCCAGCGCCUCUCUCAGGCAAGACUGGGCUCUGCUCCUGCCCUUUAUCAUUAUGAAAGGAAAACCGCAGGACCCUGAGUGCAAGACCUACAGCAUGCUGUGCUCACAACUCCUGGGUGUUGUCCAACCAGCUCUGCCCCCACCUCCCAGUGUGGGGUGCCUGCCAUGCAGGUCCCGCCCCCCACCCCCGGGGGCUGCUCAGACAAGCUGAGAGGCAAAGGUGUUUGAUCUCUUUUCUCGCACACCUUCUGGAAAACACUGUGGCCCUGAGCACCAGCCCGUAAACUCUUUCCCUUUACUCCCGUCUCUGAGAGGCAGGUUUUCAUUCGCUUUCUAAACGAAACAUAAACAGCAAUGAUUAACCAGAAGGUGCGGCAUCUGCUGACACCCACGAGGACUGAGCUGGCAAAGUGAAAACCUUUCUGUGCUCUGACGAGUUUCAAAGGCUGGGCUUGAGCUUCUGAAUGCCGCCCUGCGAGGUGAUUUUCACGGUUCCGGGUUUGCAGCAGGCGAAACCGGCUCUCCCAAGGUCACCGUGCAACAAAGGACUCAAGGUAAGCUCCAUGAUGACAGAUGCCUACCUGCCUUCUUCACUUAGUGGCAAGCAUUCCAUAGACCCUUGCUGAAUGCGGGUCUGUUGCCCCCUCAGAGCAACCCUGGGAAAAAGGCACCAUUAUGGCCUAUAUUUCACAGACUAGGACAUAGAGAUACACAAAGACUAAGAAACCUGUCCAAGAUCACAGUGGAGAAACUGAGAUUCAACCCGUGUCCUGACCAGAGCUGGGCUCUUAAACCACUAUAAGAACUACCAUGUCUUAAGCAGCAACCUUCCUUCCCAGCAAGAAACUGAAUCACUCACCUAAGAAUGUCAAUUAUAUCUGCCUUACUGCCACUUAAUCCGAAGCUUAUUUUUUCCCAGAUAACUAUUAAAAAUCCAGAACCAAUACCCACGUGGCCCACCUGUGGUAAUUGUGGCAAUUUCUUUCCUAUUUAAAAACUGUACCAUCCACAACAGAAAGCUACCUCCAAAGUCCCAAAGCAGGUUAAAGAUUUUCCCUCUCAUAUAUAAUCACAUUACAAUAUUUAAAUACAUAAUGCUGGUAUCUAGGGGAGGAAAAAUCACAUGAAAACAAAUGGAUGUGAAUAAUGUGACUUUAUUC